rnacentral:rRNA from 1 species
GACGAACGCUGGCGGCGUGCCUAAUACAUGCAAGUCGAGCGAAGUUUUUCUGGUGCUUGCACUAGAAACACUUAGCGGCGAACGGGUGAGUAACACGUAAAGAACCUGCCUCAUAGACUGGGACAACUAUUGGAAACGAUAGCUAAUACCGGAUAACAGUAUUUCUCGCAUGAGAGAUAUUUAAAAGUUGGUUAUGCUAACACUAUGAGAUGGCUUUGCGGUGCAUUAGCUAGUUGGUGGGGUAAAGGCCCACCAAGGCGACGAUGCACAGCCGACCUGAGAGGGUGAUCGGCCACACUGGGACUGAGACACGGCCCAGACUCCUACGGGAGGCAGCAGUAGGGAAUCUUCCGCAAUGGGCGAAAGCCUGACGGAGCAACGCCGCGUGAGUGAAGAAGGAUUUCGGUUCGUAAAGCUCUGUUGUUAGGGAAGAAUGGAUAUGUAGUAACUAUACAUGUAAGAGACGGUACCUAACCAGAAAGCCACGGCUAACUACGUG